AGUUUGUUUAUAACAGAUAAUGGUGUACAAAUUAGAAAAAUUUUACUGAAUUCUAGCAGUUGUUCAAAUGAUGUUCAAAUUCUGUAAUGAAUUCUGUAACAGUAGCACUAAAAGGUUUAUCAUAUUUUAAAAUAGUUGUGCGUUCAUCAGCUGAACUUCCUCCUAUUAAAAAAUUUUUAAUAUCAAUAGUUUUCUAUCACACAAAAUCAUCUGCCGUUCAAAAUAUUCGUGACAAAAGAACAGUUGUCGUAGCAGGGACCGUAGCAAAACGUCGUCCGCGGAGCGUCUUCCUUUACAAACGAAUGCUACCUAGAGCGACAUAGCCUGGGGUAUUAAAGGUGCACGAAGGUGUUGCAAAGAUGGGUUGAUGCUAGAGAGCACUCGCAUUGACGUUUACGCGCGGAGAAGCGCGAGCCGGCGUGCAGGGGAGUCGUGAACAAACCGGGACGCAACAGUCGCUCACCAGACUUUGUGCUGGAAGGAUCGUAGGAGGUAUGGUUUCGCGCCUCCGUGACAUUUCGUGACUUCGACCCGGGAUACCUGUUACAAACGGCAGCCCAGAAGCAGCGUGGUGAAGUCCAGUAACCUGGGAUAUAUGUAAAAGAAUGGAGGCAACAGGAGAUCCAUCGGCGUAAUAGACACAGGAGUUGUCCAAUGUUUUUGAAUCAUUUGUACCUGAUUCUGAGAGAAAUACAAUACAUUCACGAUGACGAUAACGGCGUCCACGGAGAGGAUGGACACGACGAAGGAUCUUCCGAAAAAAAAGUUCAUCAACAUCAAUCUUUUAUCUUUGAAGCUUUUACUAUUCCUCUUUUUCGGUGGAAUGGGUUGCCUCUUCCCCUUUCUCCCUCUUCACAUGACAGAAAUGGGACUGAGCAUCGAGCAAAUACGAAUGGUUUCAAUGAUCUCUCCAGCGAUAGCGAUACUGGGACCUCUGAUCGCCGCCCCAAUUGCAGACAAGUUGGCCGGUCAUCAAGGAAGAAACGAUAAAUCAUCGACCGGUCGUUAUCUCAGAGUGAUGAUCGCCAUUGCCUGCAUUCUGUCCGGCAUUUUCUACGUUUUUCUACUGGUCAUACCGUCUGCGAAUCUCAACGAACCAUCAAGAGAGAAGAGACCAGCGUUGAAGUUUAAUUGUGAUCAAAAAGGGGCGUUGGUGCUUCAGAAAAGAUGCAAAGAUCAGACUUGUCAUAGAUGGUCUGACGAGAGCAGAACUGGCCCGUUGCUCCUUCAAAGCUGUAACUAUGCUUGUUAUCCCAUUGGAUCGAAACGAUGGUACUCCGACGAAAACGACGAGUCCAUUUAUGGGACCACCGAUUCCGUUUUGGGAGUUCUCGAUGGUAGCGGGGACACUAGUGUGAUCCCUCUCGAAAGCGAAAUGUACGCUCAGGAACAAGAAGAGUUGAAAAAGAUUAAGCGAUUUGUGACACUUGAUAGUGAGCCUCCUCACUUGUGCUUUAAAGAAGCUGGCAACGUUAUUUGCCACGUUUACACCGAAUACUCAGGUAAUUUGGCUCUGAAUGCGACACUGAAGCAAGCGCUCAGCAGCGAAGGCGAACAAGGGUGGUGUGCAUAUCCCUUGGCUGAGUACUUUGCUUGCCGUAUACCUCCGGACUUGGAAAUUAAAAUGGCGGAGGUCUCUCAGAGUUGUUCUAUCGAAUGUGACUUAGUUGAUCCUUACACUCUUCCAGACAGCGUUCUCGUGGAGUACAUGUGUCAACAGAAUGAGAAUUGGUCUCAGUUAGUGUUCUGGACCUAUUUGGCCAUUCGAUCAACGGCUGACAUUUUCCCAACAACAGCAGUAGCUCUAAUCGAUGCUGCCGUCGUGAUAGCUACCAGAGAAACAUCUUGUGGACGCGGCGAUGUGGGUCGUCAGUUGGCGUUUGGUUCCCUCGGUUUUGCUAUCUUCGGCUCCUUAACCGGCUACCUGAGCACUUUGAUCGAAAAUUUGACCUCUUUCUGCUAUCUGCCGAUCUGUAUGCACGCUAUAAUGAUGCUGUUAACUGCUGUGGUAGCACUUUGCGCGAACGGCAUGCCUCUCAGUCCACCAGAAUGGUGGUGGCACACUAGAAGUGGCAUGCUUGCGCUUCCCAUGAGCGCUAUUAAGAGAUACGGUAGCGAGACUGCCGCUCUGGUGAUAGUGCUAAUUGUUAUGGGAACAUUUUGGAGUGCUAUGGACAGUUAUCUACCUCUACAUUUGCAAAAAUUAGGAGGUGACGAACUGCCCAUUGGAGUAGCAAUGACCGUAGGAGCAGUACCUGCAUUCCUAUUCCUCUGGAAGUCUGAGCAUCUCGUUGAUUAUUGUGGUCAUAGUAAUCUUCUUAUCACUGCCUUUACCGUGUACAUUAUUAGGUUUACUGGUCUAAGUCUGAUCGCAGAACCCUGGUGGUCUCUAAUCUCGGAGGCCUUUGAGGUUUUUACUCUAGGUAUUAUGUGGAUUACUGCCAUUCUGUAUCUUAGACAUCUUGUCCCGCGUCAUUUAACCGUGACUGCUCAAGCACUACCUGUGAUUGCACAUUUCUGCGUUGGUCGAUGCAUUGGAGCUGUGAUUGGUGCUUACAUCAAUGUCGAUGACUCUAAUAUCGUUGCCUCGCUUAGAUUCGUUUAUCGUUGCAUGGCAGCCGCAGCAGCUGCUGUUUCUGCACUGUACUUCAUCUUGUAUCAUGGCCUAUUGAAACCACGGUGUCAUGCACACAACAUACAAGGCCCUCGACAACCGCCUACUGUUGUACAAGGUAAAUAAAUUUGAUAAUAUAUUAAUACAAGAGAUUAAUGAGUAUUUUAUCAUACAAGCUGCCAUUAAGGAAUAUGAAUUGACAAUGAACGGAAAUGGGAGUUACACGCCGCUCAGGGUCUACCACAACGGCAUGGGCAGAAAAGGUCAAUUU
rnacentral:misc_RNA from 1 species